CGAACAAUUCUGGUUCAUACGAGUUCGUUCUGAAAUAGCGUGGUGGAUGUAUGGCAUAGUUUUAGCCAUUGAAUUUCACUCAAAGUCCACCAAAUGACUCACUCCACCAUAUUAUGAUGUUCCCCAAAUUUUGGGCUCAAUCCGAUAUUGAUUGGUCCAAGAAAUUGGACAAUUCAGGUUCGUUCGAAGUUCAUUCUGAAAUGGAGUGGUUUGUGUAUUGUAUAGUUCAAGAAAUUGGAUUUCACUCAAAACCCACAAAAUGACUCAUCCC
rnacentral:lncRNA from 1 species